GCCACCGUGUCUCAAGGCGGCCUGCAUACACUCGGGCAUGACCAGGAAGCAACGGGAAUCUGUCCUGCAGAAGAUUCGGGCAGCCCAGGUACACGUGCUGAUGCUGACACCUGAGGCACUGGUGGGGGCGGGAGGCCUCCCUCCAGCCGCACAGCUGCCUCCAGUUGCUUUUGCCUGCAUUGAUGAGGCCCACUGCCUCUCCCAGUGGUCCCACAACUUCCGGCCCUGCUACCUGCGCGUCUGCAAGGUGCUUCGGGAGCGCAUGGGCGUGCACUGCUUCCUGGGCCUCACAGCCACAGCCACACGCCGCACUGCCAGUGACGUGGCACAGCACCUGGCUGUGGCUGAAGAGCCUGACCUCCACGGGCCAGCCCCAGUUCCCACCAACCUGCACCUUUCCGUGUCCAUGGACAGGGACACAGACCAGGCACUGUUGACGCUGCUGCAAGGCAAACGUUUUCAAAACCUCGAUUCCAUUAUCAUUUACUGCAACCGGCGCGAGGACACAGAGCGGAUCGCUGCGCUCCUCCGAACCUGCCUGCACGCAGCCUGGGUCCCAGGGUCUGGAGGUCGUGCCCCCAAAACCACAGCCGAGGCCUACCACGCGGGCAUGUGCAGCCGGGAACGGCGGCGGGGCGAAGACCUGCGAGAGCUGCGCAGACAUGUGCACGCCGACAGCACGGACUUCCUGGCUGUGAAGAGGCUGGUACAGCGCGUGUUCCCAGCCUGCACCUGCACCUGCACCAGGCCGCCCUCGGAGCAGGAAGGGGCCGUGGGUGGGGAGAGGCCUGUGCCCAAGUACCCCCCUCAAGAGGCUGAGCAGCUUAGCCACCAAGCAGCCCCAGGACCCAGAAGGGUCUGCAUGGGCCAUGAGCGGGCACUCCCAAUACAGCUUACCGUACAGGCUUUGGACAUGCCGGAG
rnacentral:lncRNA from 1 species